AUUAAAAAGUCUCUGGCUGAGACCAAAAGGCUUUCUUGGGGAAAAGACUCAAUCUACAGUUGGAUUUUGGAUCACCAUUUCUUGUUAAGAGUAAUCCUGCUGUUUAGACAAACAGGACAACCACAUAAGGGGCGAAGAAUAUGGAAAACAUUGGUCUCACUGAUGUUUGCUUUAUUCACGUGCAAGCAGAGAGAGACAAAGGAAUCAAGAUUCUCUCUCAUGACCAGAAGUUAGUCCAGUAAAAGGUAUUAUCUCACCCACCUUGUCUCUCUAAUGUCCUGGGACCCACACAGCUACAACGAUACUGGAUACAACAAUGGAAGAUUCUCUUACAGUUGAUUAUCUGUUAAACAGAUUUGUACAUCAUACAGCGUUCCAGACAGAACAACAAGACAGAUCCAUUCACUCAGCCCCUGCUCAUGGGGAUUAGGGCCUUGUCAUUAGAAGACAAUAAAAAGAACUAAUUAGCAGCCUUUUUUAUGGCCUCUGACAGAACCAAAGUAUGAUGCAUCCCGGGACAGAAAAGAAGUUGCAUUCUGCUCAAUACAGAAUUUGCAGACAUCUGAAGUCAAGUACUUUUAAAGACUUUCUAGUUCAGAGAGACUCAUAUAAUUAGAUUGGCAUGUUUAUUAUUCAAUGAAUAGCAGCAAAACUACUGGAUCACAAAGGCAAGUACUCACCUAACUCCGCAGAAUCCCCAAGACGUAGACCCAAAAGAUCCCCAUGAGCCAAGCAGGCAAGAGUUCACAUGGCCUUGCCUCCCUUGAUAAGGGAGAAGGGCCAUCCUACAUGUGAAACAAAUCUCAAGUUAUUACCUGGUAAACCGCCAAAAUGUUUUCUCUACAUUAUAAUGCUACAGCUCCUCCAGACAUCCUAGAAGCACUGUACACAAGUGUUAGUUUUCUGUUUUGUUUAUGAUUUCAUCUUAAUGACUUGCCUUGCCUUGUAUUUUAAAGUUGAGCUCUCUAUUUGAACUGAACACAGUGGAACAGAGUACACAAGGAUGUAAUGUAUUGCUUAUUAAUAAAUGUUUAUAUUUUGAUAGCA